rnacentral:pre_miRNA from 2 species
UGUCAAAAAAAAGAAGACCUCAGGCUGUGACCCUCUAGAUGGAAGCACUGUCUGUUGUGUAAAAGAAAAGAUCGUGCAUCCCUUUAGAGUGUUACUGUUUGAGAAAAGCAA